rnacentral:tRNA from 1 species
GCGUUGCUAGUGCAGUGGUUAGCAUACCACCUUCCCAAGGUGGUGACACGAGUUCGAAUCUCGUGCAGCGCA